rnacentral:lncRNA from 1 species
CGCAGGCAUAUCUGCUCUUCCAUGCUUUCGAGUCGGUUAGAGUCUUCUGGCCUUGUUUAGUUCGCGAAAACUUUUGGUUCGGAGUACUGUAGCACUUUCGUUUUUAUUUGACAAACAUUGUCGAAUCAUGGAGUAACUAGACUCAAAAGAUUCAUCUCGCGGUUUACAGACAAACUGUGUAAUUAGUUUUUAUUUUCAUCUAUAUUUAAUGCUCCAUGU